rnacentral:rRNA from 1 species
GACGAACGCUGGCGGCGUGCUUAACACAUGCAAGUCGAACGGAAAGGCCUUUUCGGAGGUACUCGAGUGGCGAACGGGUGAGUAACACGUGGGUGAUCUGCCCUGCACUCUGGGAUAAGCCUGGGAAACUGGGUCUAAUACCGGAUAGGACCGCACUUUAGUGUGUGUGGUGGAAAGUUUUUUCGGUGUAGGAUGAGCCCGCGGCCUAUCAGCUUGUUGGUGGGGUAAUGGCCUACCAAGGCGGCGACGGGUAGCCGGGCUGAGGGGUUGGUCGGCCACAUUGGGGCUGAGAAUCGGGCCAGACUCCUACGGGAGGCAGCAGGGGGGAAUAUUGCACAAUGGGCGCAAGCCUGAUGCAGCGACGCCGCGUGGGGGAUGACGGCCUUCGGGUUGUAAACUCCUUUCGCCAGGGACGAAGCGUUUUGUGACGGUACCUGGAGAAGAAGCACCGGCUAACUACGUG